rnacentral:rRNA from 1 species
AUGCCUUGUCCCUUACUUAUUAAGAGGGCUUGGAUUUCCAAUUCAUCCGUUCCUCCGCGGGCUCGUGGAGUUCUACGGCCUCUAGCUGCAUAUUUCACUCCCGCCUCCAUAUUACACAUCGCUGGCUAUGUCGCCCUUUGCGAGCUGUUUCUGGGAUGCGAAGCUCAUUUCGAGCUAUGGAAGAGGCUAUUCUGCCUCGUACCCCAUACACAGGAGGGGUCAAUAUACCAAGUGGGCGGAGCCGAAAUAUGGCGCAUCGCCGGGACCGGAUACCUGUCCGGUACUCCGAAGAAGACAUCCGAGGACUGGCCUUCGGAGUGGUUUUAUAUGGAGGAUGUCCCCCUUCCGGACCCUAUUCGGAUGGGCCUUCCUGAAUUUGACAACGCUCCCUUGAAGAAACGCCGCAGCUGGCGCCCUCGGAGCCCUUAG